CUACGGGUUGCUGCAGUGGGGAAUAUUGCACAAUGGAGGAAACUCUGAUGCAGCAACGCCGCGUGGAGGAUGACACUUUUCGGAGCGUAAACUCCUUUUAUAUAGGAAGAAGAUGACGGUACUAUAUGAAUAAGCGCCGGCUAACUCCGUGCCAGCAGCCGCGGUAAUACGGAGGGCGCAAGCGUUACUCGGAAUCACUGGGCGUAAAGAGCGUGUAGGCGGAUUAAAAAGUCAGAAGUGAAAUCCUAUAGCUUAACUAUAGAACUGCUUCUGAAACUCUUAAUCUAGCAUAUGGGAGAGGUAGAUGGAAUUUCUGGUGUAGGGGUAAAAUCCGUAGAGAUCAGAAGGAAUACCGAUUGCGAAGGCGAUCUACUGGAACAUUAUUGACGCUGAGACGCGAAAGCGUGGGGAGCAAACAGGAUUAGAUACCCCGGUAGUC
rnacentral:rRNA from 1 species